rnacentral:lncRNA from 1 species
UUCUGUAAACAGUUUCGUUAGUAUGACGUCAUGCAGCUUAGCAAGGGCCAAACAAAAAAUAUGAAUUGUCAAUAAUCGGAACUGAUCACACCGCAAUAAACUUUUUUCUACCGAACUCAAACACAGCUUUGCAAAUUCUUCAAUUCAAAUAACUUACUUGUGUUUUGUUCUUGAUGUAUGACCAAGUCUCGGUGGAGAAGUUUGAGUUCUAAAGAGCAAGCUGCAAGCGUAGUACUGUUUUUUCUCGAUAUCAAUGAUGUCUAAAGCCCUUUUUAUGUGGCGGCAAAUAUUCAGAGCUCCGGUGGUAAAGAACACUUUUUCACCUGAUCGUUGGUAACGGCAAUUUGGGGAAAGAACAGAUCCUCGGAUUAGAUCUCAAUGUUUUUCAAAGAUUCCUAUUGAAGCGUAAACUCAUCAACUACUACAGUGGCAUUCAUGGACUUGGAAGUGAAAUAAAAAGGUUCACGUUGAAGCGUAAGUCCAUCACCUACUACGGCUGCAUUCCUAAACUCGGAAGAGGACAUAAGAGAUUUCUUCCAGUGGUGGUACAUUCUUGACCUUUUGAAGGACAAAUUUAUAUUGGAAACAAGCCUCUAUCAAUCACAUAGCUAGGGAGUGCCAACAGCCCAAGAUACAGUUAUACUAGUCAUUGUCUAUUGCAAGAAUGAUCAAUAAAACUGUUUCUUGCCCUUAUUUUCUUUACUGUAAGGGUAACAGUUUAUAUCAAUCAGUUGUCUGUACCUGUCGGUAUGUUUCAAUGCGUGAAUAAUUUGCAAUUUAAAUUUUAAAUGGUUGCAGCCGCUCACCAAAUGGAUGUUUAUGAUUGCUAUUGUUCGACUGGACAAUUUUCUCGUUGCAACAAAGAUGGGAUAUUUAAAUAUUAAAAUAGUUUUUUUUAUGACCAGGUCUGGAUGAGGAGGACCAGGCAGUUUUUCAAGCAAUUUUCCGACAGCUAUACUUUUAGGGAUCAAUACUAACACUGUUUAUCCGGGGAUGCUACAACAUUGCUAUCACGCAAAUGCCCUGUCAUUAGUGCACCUUUAGUGGGUAUCUUUCUGGCUUAACAUGUUACCAAGCAACAGUAGAAACAUUAAGUUGACAAUUUAAGUUGGCUCUGAAACCCUCCUUAGAAUUUAUUAAAACUUUGCAAAACGUUGCAUUUUACCAUGCUUAUCACAAUUCGACAAUAAAGGGUGGUGACCACCAAGCUCGUUUAUCCAGCGCUUGGAACUAAAAUUAUAGGUGUUUUCAGCAGGUUGUACUCUUACUAUGGCAAAUUUUUAUACAAAAAAAGAGGACUAGGAGAAGGGUUUUAAUGAUAGGCUUCUCCUGAAUCCGAACAAGACCAAACUGAUUGUAUAUGGACACCGGCAAAUGAUAUCGAAGCUUCAGGAUUUUCGUCUUACCCUUCUGGGUAAGGAACUUUUACCCGUCGACUCUGUUAAGUACCUGGGUGUAGUGUUUGAUAGUAAACGCUCAUUCAACGACCUCACAACUGAAACAGUAUCAUCUUGUAUGUCUGCCUUAGGGCAAAUAAGUCGAGGUAAACAUGUAUUUAGGAAAGACAUACUUGUUACAAUAAUUAAUUCCCUCGUGUUUAGCAAGUUGUAUUAUUAUUUGUCCAUCUGGUCGAAUACUCCUGCUAGCAAUACACGCAAACUACAAGCAGCACAGAAUUUCGCUGCUCGCUUAGUUUCCGGGACAAGGAAGUUUGAUCAUGUAACGCCAGCCCUGAAAAACCUGAGAUGGACACCAGUAAAGUCCCACCUGUAUCUAAGAGACGCCAUCUUGGCCUUUAAAUCUGACAGGUCAAGUACCAAACUACCUCAGUUCAAAUUUUAUCUCCAGAGGGAACAUUAGCGGUCGGGCGACCAGAUCAUCUACCCAGCUUAAUAAACCGCUUUUUAAGACCAAGUGUGGACAGAGAUCUUUUUAUUACAGAACUGUAACUUUGUGGAGUCCCUUAAAACCCCAUUUUAAAUUAAGUGAAUCUCUUAUCAUUUUUAAACGUAAAAUGAAAGCCUUCCUUUUAAAUCAAUUUUUAAUGUCAUAAAUUUUAUAUGUAAAUACUUUUUCAAUAAUUGUUUAUCGAUUAUCUUUGAGUACUUU